UACGUAGGGUGCAAGCGUUAAUCGGAAUUACUGGGCGUAAAGCGUGCGCAGGCGGUUGUGCAAGACAGAUGUGAAAUCCCCGGGCUUAACCUGGGAACUGCAUUAGUGACUGGCAGGCUUUGAGUGUGGCAGAGGGAGGUAGAAUUCCACGUGUAGCAGUGAAAUGCGUAGAGAUGUGGAGGAAUACCGAUGGCGAAGGCAGCCUCCUGGGCCAACACUGACGCUCAUGCACGAAAGCGUGGGGAGCAAACAGG
rnacentral:rRNA from 1 species